rnacentral:tRNA from 1 species
AUUUCUUUUUAUAUAGUUUAAAAAAACCAUUACAUUUUCAGUGUAAAAUUAAAUUCUAUUUUAUAA